GUCUCACCUCGUUACCCAGGCUGGAGUGCAGUGGUGUGAUCAUAUCUCACUGUACAUCUCCAACUCCUGGGCUCAAGAAAUUCUCCUGCCAUAGCCUCCUGAGUAGGUAGGACUACAGGCAUGUGCCACCACACCCAGUAGCAUCUCUUCCUCAAAGAUGAGCCAGCCGUCAUUUGAAGAGGAGGAAAGACUGGAUUGGGGAAGAAUCUGGGGCAAAAUGAAGCCAAAUUGAGAACGAGGAGAAAAGAAGAUGCUAAGGCCGCAGAUAAGGAGGUCUUGAGUGUUACAGCUCUUUUUGAAUUUGUCUAGCAUGCUUUCUGCUUUUUACUGGAAAGUGCCCCCCCCCAAAAAAAUAAAAACGAAUAAAUAAAAAAGAAAGAUUUAAAAAAUAAA
rnacentral:lncRNA from 1 species